GACGAAGGAUGCAAGCGUUAUCCGGAUUCAUUGGGUUUAAAGGGAGCGUAGGUGGCCUUAUAAGUCAGUGGUGAAAUCUCUGGGCUUAACCCAGAAAUUGCCAUUGAUACUGUAGGGCUUGAGUAUAGUUGCCGUCGGCGGAAUAUGACAUGUAGUGGUGAAAUACAUAGAGAUGUCAUAGAACACCGAUUGUGAAGGCAGCUGACGAAACUAUAACUGACACUGAGGCUCGAAAGUGCGGGGAUCAAACAGG
rnacentral:rRNA from 1 species